CUCUGUGACUCCUACGGGAGGCAGCAGUGGGGAAUAUUGCACAAUGGGGGGAAACCCUGAUGCAGCCAUGCCGCGUGUGUGAAGAAGGCCUUCGGGUUGUAAAGCACUUUCAGUAGGGAGGAAGGUAGUGUAGUUAACACCUGCACUAUUUGACGUUACCUACAGAAGAAGCACCGGCUAACUCCGUGCCAGCAGCCGCGGUAAUACGGAGGGUGCGAGCGUUAAUCGGAAUUACUGGGCGUAAAGCGCAUGCAGGCGGCCUGUUAAGUCAGAUGUGAAAGCCCGGGGCUUAACCUCGGAAUUGCAUUUUGAAACUGGCAGGCUAGAGUCUUGUAGAGGGGGUAGAAUUUCAGGUGUAGCGGUGAAAUGCGUAGAGAUCUGAAGGAAUACCAGUGGCGAAGGCGGCCCCCUGGACAAAGACUGACGCUCAGAUGCGAAAGCGUGGGGAGCAAACAGGAUUAGAUACCCUGGUAG
rnacentral:rRNA from 1 species